UGUGAGACACCUGGACAGAAAGUGUAAGAAUGGCGUGGUGCUUGAUGUACGAGAGAUAAGGCAGACGGCAUGAAGCGGUUGUGUGAAUAUGGACACUGUUUGUGCGCUCUCUCUAGCAGGGAAUAUUAAUUGGGACAAAUGGACUGGAUUUAGUCGGCUUCCAAUCGACGGGGGACGCUCGGAAUAGGGUGGAAGUAGAAUGCGAAUGCGUGUAUUUUUUGGGACUCUUUUUGUGUGUGUUUGUGUAUCUGGGACGCCGGUGCCCACGGACUGAACUUCCAGUGACGGGAGGGUCUCAAUUGCUGCCAGACGGAGGGAAGUUAGGCCAUUGUUUUAACGUGUUUUCAUGAACUCCGAAUUCGGAGAGGGAUAGCCUCUAAGAUUUAGUGUUAGAAAUCGUGGGUGGGUUUUUUGGGAAAUGUUUUUAAAUGUGCUGACUAGCUGAUUUACCCUGAUUAAUUAUUGUUUGCAGUGAUAUACCACGACUAGUUUGCAGUGUCUAUUAAAGUAGUUUAGCAAAUGUGUGCUUAUUUAUAAUUCCCCUUUUGGGCUUUUGGUUGUGUGCAAUACUGUGUGUGGUUAAGGCUUAGUGCAAUAAUUCUGAUAACGCACCCGAAUUCCUGCCGAUUGGCAAUCUAUUAUUCUAUGAUGAAUAAUAAACAGGUUAUAUUUGUACUACAACUUCUCUGACUGCUGGUCUUGUGUGGAACUUGGGACAACAGCUGGACCAUACCGGUUUAAAAAAAGGUGGUGGCAGCAAAAUAUUAGUGACCUCUCUGUUACAUUACAAUAUGUUGAAAAUUAUGUUGGUAGGGACAUCUGAUUUAACCUGAUGAAUGCCAACAUCUCUGGCCUUUUCAUGGGCCGCGUGUGUUGGCGAAGUUGGCAUGUAUAACUAGCUUUUGUUGGAUGACGACCUGACGUGUUGGUAUAAUUUAUCCACAGAAUCAAGACGUUGGUUUGGUCUGAUGGACUUCUCUGCUGCAUCAGCCAACAGUUGGACAUGGGUCAUCCACAUAAAGGUUGCAGCGCUGAUACACAAGGGGUACUUGCAGGAUUGACGGCAUGCUCAACUGGUUCAAGGACAUCACCAUGAGUUUCUGAGUAAUGCAGCCUGUGGUGGAUGCCUCUGGAUCACCAUUUACGGACCUUGUGAAGGAGCUCUUGGAAUGAAGCCCCCCUGAGCCUUUUGGUGGUUGAUGCCUCAGCAGCCAUGUCUUCAGUUCCUGCACCAUUCGCCCUCUAGGGAGAGUAGACGGGAGUUGACCAGGGGCUGUGAAUGAGGAAGGUGUCUGCUCUGAGUCCUGGUGUGCGGUGUCUCCACCUUGCUGUUUUCCUCAUGUUGCAGGGUCCUGGAGGCUUUGGAAGACUGAGCCCUGGUCCCGGAGGCUUUUGAAGACUGAGCCCAGGGUGCUGUGGACAUUGUUGCUGUUGAAAAUGAGCAUCAGCAUUGGCCUGAACGUUUGACAUUCUGGUGUGAAACGCCCAGACUCUUUAUUAAAUAAAAACAUUUUAACUUACCCUUAUCUUGUGUUUUCAUUCAAUUUAGGUGUGAUCACAGCAUAUGAAAUUACUAUUUAAUGAAGGGGC
ensembl:lncRNA